rnacentral:rRNA from 1 species
AUACGAAGGGGGCUAGCGUUGCUCGGAAUCACUGGGCGUAAAGGGUGCGUAGGCGGGGUUUUUAAGUCAGAGGUGAAAUCCUUGGAGCUCAACUCCAGAACUGCCUUUGAUACUGAAAGAUCUUGAGUUCGGGAGAGGUGAGUGGAACUGCCGAGUGUAGAGGUGAAAUUCGUAGAUAUUCGCAAGAACACCAGUGGCGAAGGGCGGCUCACUGGCCCGAUACUGACGCUGAGGAGCGAAAGCGUGGGGAGCAAACAGGG